rnacentral:rRNA from 1 species
UACGUAGGGGGCGAGCGUUGUCCGGAUUUAUUGGGCGUAAAGAGCGUGUAGGCGGUUCGGUAAGUCUGUCGUGAAAUCCUGAGGCUCAACCUCGGGCGUGCGAUGGAUACUGCCGGGCUAGAGGGUGGUAGAGGCGAGUGGAAUUCCCGGUGUAGCGGUGAAAUGCGUAGAGAUCGGGAGGAAUACCAGUGGCGAAGGCGGCCUUCUGGACUGACACUGACGCUGAGGCGCGAAAGCCAGGGGAGCAAACGGG